UACGUAGGGUGCGAGCGUUAAUCGGAAUUACUGGGCGUAAAGCGUGCGCAGGUGGUUGUUUAAGACAGAUGUGAAAUCCCCGGGCUCAACCUGGGAACUGCGUUUGUGACUGGACAGCUAGAGUGCGGCAGAGGGGGGUGGAAUUCCACGUGUAGCAGUGAAAUGCGUAGAGAUGUGGAGGAACACCGAUGGCGAAGGCAGCCCCCUGGGCCAGCACUGACGCUCAUGCACGAAAGCGUGGGGAGCAAACAGGAUUAGAUACCCUGGUAGUCCACGCCCUAAACGAUGUCAACUAGGUGUUGGGGAAGGAGACUUUCUUAGUACCGCAGCUAACGCGUGAAGUUGACCGCCUGGGGAGUACGGUCGCAAGAUUAAA
rnacentral:rRNA from 1 species